rnacentral:rRNA from 1 species
GAUGAACGCUGGCGGCGUGCUUAACACAUGCAAGUCGAACGAAGAUGCCGGAGUGCUUGCACUUUGGCAGACUGAGUGGCGGACGGGUGAGUAACGCGUGGGUAACCUGCCUUAUACAGGGGGAUAACAGUUGGAAACGACUGCUAAUACCGCAUAAGCGCACGGUAUCGCAUGAUACAGUGUGAAAAACUCCGGUGGUAUAAGAUGGACCCGCGUCUGAUUAGCUUGUUGGUGAGGUAACGGCCCACCAAGGCGACGAUCAGUAGCCGGCCUGAGAGGGUGAACGGCCACAUUGGGACUGAGACACGGCCCAAACUCCUACGGGAGGCAGCAGUGGGGAAUAUUGCACAAUGGGGGAAACCCUGAUGCAGCAACGCCGCGUGAGUGAAGAAGUAUUUCGGUAUGUAAAGCUCUAUCAGCAGGGAAGAAAAUGACGGUACCUGACUAAGAAGCCCCGGCUAACUACGUG